GACGAACGCUGGCGGCGUGCUUAACACAUGCAAGUCGAACGAUGAAGCUGGAGCUUGCUCCGGUGGAUUAGUGGCGAACGGGUGAGUAACACGUGAGCAAUCUGCCCUUGACUCUGGGAUAACUGCGGGAAACUGUAGCUAAUACCGGAUACGAGACCUGAAGGCAUCUUCGGGUCUGGAAAGAAUUUCGGUCUAGGAUGAGCUCGCGGCCUAUCAGCUUGUUGGUGAGGUAAUGGCUCACCAAGGCGACGACGGGUAGCCGGCCUGAGAGGGUGACCGGCCACACUGGGACUGAGACACGGCCCUGACUCCUACGGGAGGCAGCAGUGGGGAAUAUUGCACAAUGGGCGAAAGCCUGAUGCAGCAACGCCGCGUGAGGGAUGAAGGCCUUCGGGUUGUAAACCUCUUUUAGCAGGGAAGAAGCGAAAGUGACGGUACCUGCAGAAAAAGCACCGGCUAACUACGUGCCAGCCGCCGCGGUAA
rnacentral:rRNA from 1 species